rnacentral:rRNA from 1 species
AGUCUAGCGGAUAUGAGGUGCUUGCCCUUAUCUUAUCGGCGGACGGGUGAGUAAUGCUUAUGAAUCUGCCUAUUACUGGGGGACAACAUUCCGAAAGGAAUGCUAAUACCGCAUACGUCCUACUGGAGAAAGCAGGGGAUCUUCGGACCUUGCGCUAAUAGAUGAGCCUGAGUCGGAUUAGCUAGUUGGUGGGGUAAAGGCCUACCGAGGCGACGAUCUGUAGCGGGUCUGAUAAAAUGAUCCGCCACACUGGGACUGAGAUACCGCCCAGACUCCUACCGGAGGCAGCAGUGGGGAAUAUUGGACAAUGGGGGGAACCCUGAUCCAGCCAUGCCGCGUGUGUGAAGAAUGCCUUAUGGUUGUAAAGCACUUUAACCUAGGAGGAGGCUACUGAGACUAAUACUCUUGGAUAGUGGACGUUACUCGCAGAAUAAGCUCCGGCUAACUCUGUGCCGGCAUCCGCGGUAAUACAGAGGGUGCGAGCGUUAAUCGGAUUUACUGGGCGUAAAGCGUGCGUAGGCGGCUUUUUAAGUCGGAUGUGAAAUCCUCGAGCUUAACUUGGUAUUUGCAUUCGAUACUGGGAAGCUAUAGUAUGGGGAGAGGAUGGUAGAAUUCCAGGUGUAUCGGUGAAAUGCGUAUAGAUCUGGAAGACUACCGAUGGCGAGGCAGCGGUCUUGGCCUACUACUGACGCUGAUGUACUAAAGCAUUGGGGAGCAACGUGAUUAGAUCCCCUGUGUAUUCCAUGCCGUAUACGAUGUCUACUAUCCCGUGGGGGCUUUUGAUGCUUU